UGAUGCAGGGCUGUACAGCUUUGCCAGCCUAUAAAUAGAAGUAGGAACCCCUGAGGUGCAGAACAAGCUGGCUGAUGAAACCAAUGCUUGCUACUACUGCUCUUUCCUACUGCUUUGUUACUGAGAGUAAGAGGGGAGACAGUUGUCCUGGUGAACAGAGCAAGAGCUGAAGUCUAGAGAGAGUGAUGCUGGGAGAUGCCUUCUAGACUUGAUUCGACCAUUGAUAUUGAAGAGUAUCCAGAACACCUCUGUAAGGUCCUGUUAUCUCCAUUUCACCAAAGAGGAAGUGAGGCACAAAAUAGAGGUGAAAAAACUUGACCAGUUCUGGAGUACAGAAGUCUGAAAUGGGUCUCACUGGGCUAAAAUCAAGGUGUCAGCAGGCCCACAUUUCUUCCGCAGGCACAAAAUUCCUAGCCUUUUCCUUGGACUGUGGCCCCUUUCCACCUUCAAAACUAACUAUUCCAAGCAAGCUCUGAUUCUCUUGGCAAAACAGCCCCAUCAAGAGUCUCACCAGCCGCUUCCCUUGGGAACACAGACUCAGACAAGGGGGGGAUGGGGGAGAGACAAGGCUAGACACUUGUCCCCAGUGGAAAAAGAACACACCUGGAAAGCAGCUCUGACAAAGGGAGCCAAGACGGGGAAAACCGUAAUUGGAGAAGAGAGACUGCUUCCAAUCUGCUGCUGGUUGACAAGGUAAGUCUACUCCUGGAGCAAAAGGGACACAGUAGCAGCACAAUAAAAACUGGGGCAGGG